UUCAGAGUGCCUGUCUCACAAAUUCCAGCUGCCAUGAAUAUUUCAUACCUGGAACCAUGUUUUGGUAACAAUAGAAUGUGAGCACAAUGAACCAAAUCAGCAACUGUGUACUUGUGGUCUUGGGACGGCAUGAAGAAGAUCAGGAGAAAGCCUACUUCUUUAGGCCACAGUGACCUAUGAAAUGACACUCUAUGCAACUGGGAUUUAUGUAUGGAAAAAUUGAG
rnacentral:lncRNA from 1 species